GGGUUGUGAGGUUAAGCGACUAAGCGUACACGGUGGAUGCCCUGGCAGUCAGAGGCGAUGAAGGACGUGCUAAUCUGCGAUAAGCGUCGGUAAGGUGAUAUGAACCGUUAUAACCGGCGAUUUCCGAAUGGGGAAACCCAGUGUGAUUCGUCACACUAUCAUUAACUGAAUCCAUAGGUUAAUGAGGCGAACCGGGGGAACUGAAACAUCUAAGUACCCCGAGGAAAAGAAAUCAACCGAGAUUCCCCCAGUAGCGGCGAGCGAACGGGGAGGAGCCCAGAGCCUGAAUCAGUGUGUGUGUUAGUGGAAGCGUCUGGAAAGGCGCGCGAUACAGGGUGACAGCCCCGUACACAAAAAUGCACAUGCUGUGAGCUCGAUGAGUAGGGCGGGACACGUGGUAUCCUGUCUGAAUAUGGGGGGACCAUCCUCCAAGGCUAAAUACUCCUGACUGACCGAUAGUGAACCAGUACCGUGAGGGAAAGGCGAAAAGAACCCCGGCGAGGGGAGUGAAAAAGAACCUGAAACCGUGUACGUACAAGCAGUGGGAGCACGCUUAGGCGUGUGACUGCGUACCUUUUGUAUAAUGGGUCAGCGACUUAUAUUCUGUAGCAAGGUUAACCGAAUAGGGGAGCCGAAGGGAAACCGAGUCUUAACUGGGCGUUAAGUUGCAGGGUAUAGACCCGAAACCCGGUGAUCUAGCCAUGGGCAGGUUGAAGGUUGGGUAACACUAACUGGAGGACCGAACCGACUAAUGUUGAAAAAUUAGCGGAUGACUUGUGGCUGGGGGUGAAAGGCCAAUCAAACCGGGAGAUAGCUGGUUCUCCCCGAAAGCUAUUUAGGUAGCGCCUCGUGAAUUCAUCUCCGGGGGUAGAGCACUGUUUCGGCAAGGGGGUCAUCCCGACUUACCAACCCGAUGCAAACUGCGAAUACCGGAGAAUGUUAUCACGGGAGACACACGGCGGGUGCUAACGUCCGUCGUGAAGAGGGAAACAACCCAGACCGCCAGCUAAGGUCCCAAAGUCAUGGUUAAGUGGGAAACGAUGUGGGAAGGCCCAGACAGCCAGGAUGUUGGCUUAGAAGCAGCCAUCAUUUAAAGAAAGCGUAAUAGCUCACUGGUCGAGUCGGCCUGCGCGGAAGAUGUAACGGGGCUAAACCAUGCACCGAAGCUGCGGCAGCGACGCUGAUGCGUUGUUGGGUAGGGGAGCGUUCUGUAAGCCUGCGAAGGUGUGCUGUGAGGCAUGCUGGAGGUAUCAGAAGUGCGAAUGCUGACAUAAGUAACGAUAAAGCGGGUGAAAAGCCCGCUCGCCGGAAGACCAAGGGUUCCUGUCCAACGUUAAUCGGGGCAGGGUGAGUCGACCCCUAAGGCGAGGCCGAAAGGCGUAGUCGAUGGGAAACAGGUUAAUAUUCCUGUACUUGGUGUUACUGCGAAGGGGGGACGGAGAAGGCUAUGUUGGCCGGGCGACGGUUGUCCCGGUUUAAGCGUGUAGGCUGGUUUUCCAGGCAAAUCCGGAAAAUCAAGGCUGAGGCGUGAUGACGAGGCACUACGGUGCUGAAGCAACAAAUGCCCUGCUUCCAGGAAAAGCCUCUAAGCAUCAGGUAACAUCAAAUCGUACCCCAAACCGACACAGGUGGUCAGGUAGAGAAUACCAAGGCGCUUGAGAGAACUCGGGUGAAGGAACUAGGCAAAAUGGUGCCGUAACUUCGGGAGAAGGCACGCUGAUAUGUAGGUGAAGCGACUUGCUCGUGGAGCUGAAAUCAGUCGAAGAUACCAGCUGGCUGCAACUGUUUAUUAAAAACACAGCACUGUGCAAACACGAAAGUGGACGUAUACGGUGUGACGCCUGCCCGGUGCCGGAAGGUUAAUUGAUGGGGUCAGCGCAAGCGAAGCUCUUGAUCGAAGCCCCGGUAAACGGCGGCCGUAACUAUAACGGUCCUAAGGUAGCGAAAUUCCUUGUCGGGUAAGUUCCGACCUGCACGAAUGGCGUAAUGAUGGCCAGGCUGUCUCCACCCGAGACUCAGUGAAAUUGAACUCGCUGUGAAGAUGCAGUGUACCCGCGGCAAGACGGAAAGACCCCGUGAACCUUUACUAUAGCUUGACACUGAACAUUGAGCCUUGAUGUGUAGGAUAGGUGGGAGGCUUUGAAGUGUGGACGCCAGUCUGCAUGGAGCCGACCUUGAAAUACCACCCUUUAAUGUUUGAUGUUCUAACGUUGACCCGUAAUCCGGGUUGCGGACAGUGUCUGGUGGGUAGUUUGACUGGGGCGGUCUCCUCCUAAAGAGUAACGGAGGAGCACGAAGGUUGGCUAAUCCUGGUCGGACAUCAGGAGGUUAGUGCAAUGGCAUAAGCCAGCUUGACUGCGAGCGUGACGGCGCGAGCAGGUGCGAAAGCAGGUCAUAGUGAUCCGGUGGUUCUGAAUGGAAGGGCCAUCGCUCAACGGAUAAAAGGUACUCCGGGGAUAACAGGCUGAUACCGCCCAAGAGUUCAUAUCGACGGCGGUGUUUGGCACCUCGAUGUCGGCUCAUCACAUCCUGGGGCUGAAGUAGGUCCCAAGGGUAUGGCUGUUCGCCAUUUAAAGUGGUACGCGAGCUGGGUUUAGAACGUCGUGAGACAGUUCGGUCCCUAUCUGCCGUGGGCGCUGGAGAACUGAGGGGGGCUGCUCCUAGUACGAGAGGACCGGAGUGGACGCAUCACUGGUGUUCGGGUUGUCAUGCCAAUGGCACUGCCCGGUAGCUAAAUGCGGAAGAGAUAAGUGCUGAAAGCAUCUAAGCACGAAACUUGCCCCGAGAUGAGUUCUCCCUGACUCCUUGAGAGUCCUGAAGGAACGUUGAAGACGACGACGUUGAUAGGCCGGGUGUGUAAGCGCAGCGAUGCGUUGAGCUAACCGGUACUAAUGAACCGUGAGGCUUAACCUUACAACGCCGAAG
rnacentral:rRNA from 1 species